UGGGCCGGCAAGACGGUCGCGUCGGUCCGCUUCGGCGGUCCGCCGAGGAACGUCCGGGCUCCACAGAGCAGGGCGGUGGGUAACACCCACCCGGGGCAACCCGCGAGACAGUGCCACAGAAAACAGACCGCCGCGUGCCUUCGGGCGCUGCGGUAAGGGUGAAACGGUGGUGUAAGAGACCACCAGCGACCGGGGUGACCCGGUCGGCUCGGUAAACCUCGCCCGGAGCAAGGUCAGACAGGGAACGUUGAGGCUGCUCGCCGAGUUCCCGGGUAGACCGCUGGAGGGCUGCGGCAACGUAGUCCCGAGAUAGAUGGCCGUCCACGGCGCGCAAGCGCCCGGACAGAACCCGGCGUAAUAGCCGGCCCAUUCA
rnacentral:RNase_P_RNA from 1 species